rnacentral:tRNA from 2 species
AUGUAGCCAAGUGGAUCAAGGCAGUGGAUUGUGAAUCCACCAUGCGCGAA